ACCGGAGUUACAGUGUUUUUUUGUUGUUGUGGGGAGGCGGAGCCCACGUGCUCUUGCAGAGUCUGAAGGCCUUUUGGAACCGCUAUUUCCGCCAGAAAGUAGGAACCGGCCCGGCUGCUUAGGAGAGUGUGGUCUAUCACCUACAGCCGGCGGAAUUGUGCGGGCUGGCGAACAUUCUUAAUGCUGCGCACUAGGAGAAUUCACUUCUGAGGUCUUCGAACCAGAAAACAAGAACACUUGACUGUUUAAAAAAACACAGGUGCCUGUGCCUUGUGAUAACCAGGAGAUACAGCCCAGGGCGGGGGAGUACGUGUCCGACCAAAGCAGCCUCCUACCCAGCACCACCACUACUGGCCGAGAGGCACUGGGCAAACUAGUCUCUUCACCCAUAUCCACCUACUAGGGUGGUUACGAGAACGAAGUGAGAUCAUCCGUGUAAAGCUCUCAGCGACAUGCCAUGCGGUAUUCAAAGGACGGCUGCUUCCUGUUCUGCCUUGGUUGUCACCUAAUCAUCUGCGAUUUCUACCGGAACAAUGAAGGUGAUGUUUCCACCUCAAAGACUUCUGGAAGGAGAAGAGUCAGCGGCCCAUAAGAUGGUAACCGAGCUUUCUUACGUUGCACACUGUUCCAGAGGUUUGGUGCAGCUAUCAACGUUAACAAACAGGACGGUGUCAGGAAGAGAGCCAUAUCUGGACUGGCCCCUUGAUUCUGAACACCAUAAUUAUGAGAAGAAAUGACUCGACAGUCCCAGAAGGCGUGACUUCGUGCCAGUCCAAAGCAACCUCUUGUGUGCCGGAGGAACCAUGGACCUGACUUGCCACUUCUGACUCCACGCAGGUCAGGGAGUAGUCAGACCCUGUGGGAGGCAGAGCGCCUUCUGCUGAAGCAUGGGUAAGGGAAAGAGAAAUGAAAUGGAGAGGAAAUGGCCAGAGAGGAGGAUGCGUCAGGAGCGGGAGGGUUGAAACAUUAGGACACAUGACGAAAUGGAGACACUGUGUGACAUGAAAGGAUGCAGGUAAUGCCAAACCUCCAAACUACAGAGCAAACCCAAAUAAACAGUGUACUCUUUCAUCUAAUCUGUGCCUCCGUAAGUCUCUCAUCAUUUUCCCAAUAUUUGAGAAGAAUGUGACUUCCUGGCUUAGUCAACCUUGGGAAAGGCUGGGAUGGGGGCCCUUCUCUUACUCAAACGAAAAGCCUCAAAGAUGCAACCAGGAGGGAAGAAGGGCUCAGUCUUCUGCGUCAGAAAUGAUUCUUCCAAAGCAGGUACCACGAAACUAUCUCUAAAGGGAGAAUGCAUAGUGCCCUGGUCACCACAUUGCACAACUCCAGAGAAUGCCAUUCACACUCCAGACUAUUUUAGCUCAUGGAGUGGCAUUGGGUACUAUACUCGUGGCUGUACACAACAGCUCUGCAGAAUCAUGUAGCUUUAAAAAAAAAUCACCAGAUAACAAGAAGUUCAUAUUGUAGUCAAUUCGCUAAUUUGUUUUUAUUAAUAAGGAGCUCUGAAUGCACACAACGAUUAAAGCACUCUUAUAUUUCA